CGGGUGAGUAACGCGUGGGUAACCUGCCUUGUACUGGGGGACAACAGUUGGAAACGACUGCUAAUACCGCAUAAGCGCACAGCUUCGCAUGAAGCAGUGUGAAAAACUCCGGUGGUACAAGAUGGACCCGCGUCUGAUUAGCUGGUUGGUGAGGUAACGGCCCACCAAGGCGGCGAUCAGUAGCCGGCCUGAGAGGGUGAACGGCCACAUUGGGACUGAGACACGGCCCAA
rnacentral:rRNA from 1 species